rnacentral:rRNA from 1 species
GAUGAACGCUGGCGGCGUGCCUAAUACAUGCAAGUCGAGCGAACAGAUGAGGAGCUUGCUCCUCUGACGUUAGCGGCGGACGGGUGAGUAACACGUGGAUAACCUACCUAUAAGACUGGGAUAACUUCGGGAAAUCGGAGCUAAUACCGGAUAAUAUAUUGAACCGCAUGGUUCAAUAGUGAAAGACGGUUUUGCUGUCACUUAUAGAUGGACCCGCGCCGCAUUAGCUAGUUGGUAAGGUAACGGCUUACCAAGGCAACGAUGCGUAGCCGACCUGAGAGGGUGAUCGGCCACACUGGAACUGAGACACGGUCCAGACUCCUACGGGAGGCAGCAGUAGGGAAUCUUCCGCAAUGGGCGAAAGCCUGACGGAGCAACGCCGCGUGAGUGAUGAAGGUCUUCGGAUCGUAAAACUCUGUUAUUAGGGAAGAACAAAUGUGUAAGUAACUAUGCACGUCUUGACGGUACCUAAUCAGAAAGCCACGGCUAACUACGUG